GGGGAAUCUUAGACAAUGGGGGAAACCCUGAUCUAGCCAUGCCGCGUGAGCGAUGAAGGCCUUAGGGUUGUAAAGCUCUUUCAGCUGGGAAGAUAAUGACGGUACCAGCAGAAGAAGCCCCGGCUAACUCCGUGCCAGCAGCCGCGGUAAUACGGAGGGGGCUAGCGUUGUUCGGAAUUACUGGGCGUAAAGCGCGCGUAGGCGGACCAGAAAGUUGGAGGUGAAAUCCCAGGGCUCAACCUUGGAACUGCCUUCAAAACUCCUGGUCUGGAGUUCGAGAGAGGUGGGUGGAAUUCCGAGUGUAGAGGUGGAAUUCGUAGAUAUUCGGAGGAACACCAGUGGCGAAGGCGGCUCACUGGCUCGAUACUGACGCUGAGGUGCGAAAGCGUGGGGAGCAAAC
rnacentral:rRNA from 1 species